rnacentral:rRNA from 1 species
CAAUGGACGAAAGUCUGACGGAGCAACGCCGCGUGAGUGAUGAAGGCUUUCGGGUCGUAAAACUCUGUUGUUAGGGAAGAACAAGUGCUAGUUGAAUAAGCUGGCACCUUGACGGUACCUAACCAGAAAGCCACGGCUAACUACGUGCCAGCAGCCGCGGUAAUACGUAGGUGGCAAGCGUUAUCCGGAAUUAUUGGGCGUAAAGCGCGCGCAGGUGGUUUCUUAAGUCUGAUGUGAAAGCCCACGGCUCAACCGUGGAGGGUCAUUGGAAACUGGGAGACUUGAGUGCAGAAGAGGAAAGUGGAAUUCCAUGUGUAGCGGUGAAAUGCGUAGAGAUAUGGAGGAACACCAGUGGCGAAGGCGACUUUCUGGUCUGUAACUGACACUGAGGCGCGAAAGCGUGGGGAGCAAACAGGAUUAGAUACCCUGGUAGUCCACGCCGUAAACGAUGAGUGCUAAGUGUUAGAGGGUUUCCGCCCUUUAGUGCUGAAGUUAACGCAUUAAGCACUCCGCCUGGGGAGUACGGCCGCAAGGCUGAAACUCAA